AGGCAGUGUAAUUAGAUGAUUUGA
rnacentral:miRNA from 1 species